rnacentral:rRNA from 1 species
AAAACAAAUACGAAGGGUGCAAGCGUUAAUCGGAAUUACUGGGCGUAAAGCGCGCGUAGGUGGUUCGGUAAGUUGGAUGUAAAAUCUCCCGGCUCAACUGGGAGGCGACGUUCAAUACUGUCGGACUUGAGGGCGAUAGAGGGAGGUGGAAUUCCCGGUGUAGUGGUGAAAUGCGUAGAUAUCGGGAGGAACACCAGUGGCGAAAGCGACCACCUGGCCAAAUACUGACGCUGAGGUGCGAAAGCGUGGGGAGCAAACAGG